CAAUCAGGCUUGAUUAUAUCAAACCGAAUCUAAGUCAAACUCAAUCUAAUUCAAUUAGAUUUGAUCCAAAGCUCUUCACCCAAUAAAAUUGAGUCAAUUAAUAAUCUAAUUACUAAUUAAUUCUCUAUUAAUAGUAGAGUCUCAGUCCAGUUGGACUCUUCUCCAGAGUCCCAAUCCCAGGGGGACUCCUCACUAGAGACAAUCCAAUUGGACUCUUCAGCCAUC
rnacentral:lncRNA from 1 species